UGGACGAAAGUCUGACGGAGCAACGCCGCGUGAGUGAAGAAGGUUUUCGGAUCGUAAAGCUCUGUCUUCAGGGACGAAUGUGCUUAAUGUGAAUAAUGUUAAGUAAUGACGGUACCUGAGGAGGAAGCCACGGCUAACUACGUGCCAGCAGCCGCGGUAAUACGUAGGUGGCAAGCGUUGUCCGGAAUUAUUGGGCGUAAAGCGCGCGCAGGCGGGAAUGUAAGUCUGUCUUAAAAGUUCGGGGCUCAACCCCGUGAUGGGAUGGAAACUACAUUUCUUGAGUGCAGGAGAGGAAAGUGGAAUUCCUAGUGUAGCGGUGAAAUGCGUAGAUAUUAGGAGGAACACCAGUGGCGAAGGCGACUUUCUGGACUGUGUCUGACGCUGAGGCGCGAAAGCCAGGGGAGUGAACGGGAUUAGAUACCCCGGUAAUCCUGGCCGUAAACGAUGGGUACUAGGUGUAGGAGGUAUCGACCCCUUCUGUGCCGGAGUUAACGCAAUAAGUACCCCGCCUGGGGAGUA
rnacentral:rRNA from 1 species